rnacentral:miRNA from 1 species
AUCAAUGAGUAGAUGAAGAAAUUGUGAUAUCUGUAUUAUAUCUAUAUGUGUGUGUGUGUAUGUGUGUAUAUAUAUAUACACACACACACAUACAUACACAUAUCACCAU